GUAAGCAUUAUUCUCGAAAUGACCCGCUAAUCUAAACGUCCAAUAAGUCUUCCACUGAGAUUUCCAAUGCCUAAAUACACACCUAACGUUGAAAACAGAAGUUCCACAAGCACAAUCAAAACAGAAUCAUUCAGAGAAUAUCUACAGAAACACACGUCUGUAUUUGCAUAAGUUGCAUACACACAUAUGCUGAAACGAAACUGAAAAAAGCUGAAAAACUGUAAUUGCCAAUGAUCCAUUAAUCUAAUAAGCCUGAAAAAAUGAUCUAAGGAAAGGGACAUCCAAUGAAAGCAAUCAUAAACUAGAGAUAUACCCAUCAAGAAAAAAUCGAAAAGAGAAUAAACCGAGAACGCAAAUUU
rnacentral:misc_RNA from 1 species